rnacentral:misc_RNA from 1 species
UGGCUCCAAAAGGAAAAUCGGGUUGACAAGGAGACCAUGGAGUUGAUGGUGUCUAUAAUGUGUGGUUGGAUUAAGAAGUUGGUCGAGGGACGACAUAACGUCGGUGAUGUUGUUGACCUUCUUGUGGAUAUGGAUUGUGUAGGUUUGAAGCCCCAUUUUAGCAUGAUAGAAAAGGUUAUCUCUAUGUACUGGGAAAUGGGUGAGAAAGAAAAAGCAAUUUCGUUCGUGAAAGAGGUCUUGGGAUGCAAGCUUGCUUUUAUUAAGGACGAUUGGGAGGGGCAUAAAAGGGG